rnacentral:rRNA from 1 species
GAUGAACGCUAGCGGGAGGCCUAAUACAUGCAAGUCGAACGGUAACAGGGUAGCAAUACCGCUGACGAGUGGCGCACGGGUGCGUAACACGUACACAAUCUACCUUAUACUGGGAGCAUAACCUCGGGAAACUGAGGCUAAUUCUCCAUAACAUAUUAAAAAGGCAUCUUUUUGAUAUUAAAACUCCGGUGGUAUAAGAUGAGUGUGCGUCUGAUUAGCUAGUUGGUGGGGUAACGGCUCACCAAGGCAACGAUCAGUAGCUGGUCUGAGAGGAUGAUCAGCCACACGGGCACUGAGACACGGGGCCCGACUCCUACGGGAGGCAGCAGUAGGGAAUAUUGGACAAUGGGCGCAAGCCUGAUCCAGCCAUCCCGCGUGAAGGAUUAAGGCCCUCUGGGUUGUAAACUUCUUUUCUUUGGGAAUAAAACUCCGUUCUACGGAGCUUGAAGGUACCAGAGGAAUAAGCACCGGCUAACUCCGUG